UGGGGAUGUAGGUCAGUGGUAGAAUGCCUGCCUAGCAUGUGUGAGACCCUGGGUUCAAUCCCCAGCUCCACAA
rnacentral:tRNA from 1 species